AGUGAACGCUGGCGGUAGGCCUAACACAUGCAAGUCGAACGGCAGCACAGUAAGAGCUUGCUCUUACGGGUGGCGAGUGGCGGACGGGUGAGGAAUACAUCGGAAUCUACUUUUUCGUGGGGGAUAACGUAGGGAAACUUACGCUAAUACCGCAUACGACCUACGGGUGAAAGCAGGGGAUCUUCGGACCUUGCGCGAUUGAAUGAGCCGAUGUCGGAUUAGCUAGUUGGCGGGGUAAAGGCCCACCAAGGCGACGAUCCGUAGCUGGUCUGAGAGGAUGAUCAGCCACACUGGAACUGAGACACGGUCCAGACUCCUACGGGAGGCAGCAGUGGGGAAUAUUGGACAAUGGGCGGAAGCCUGAUCCAGCCAUACCGCGUGGGUGAAGAAGGCCUUCGGGUUGUAAAGCCCUUUUGUUGGGAAAGAAAAGCAGCAGGUUAAGACCCCGCUGUUCUGACGGUACCCAAAGAAUAAGCACCGGCUAACUUCGUG
rnacentral:rRNA from 1 species